rnacentral:rRNA from 1 species
GAUGAACGCUGGCGGCGUGCCUAAUACAUGCAAGUCGAGCGAACAGACGAGGAGCUUGCUCCUCUGAUGUUAGCGGCGGACGGGUGAGUAACACGUGGAUAACCUACCUAUAAGACUGGGAUAACUUCGGGAAACCGGAGCUAAUACCGGAUAACAUGUUGAACCUCAUGGUUCAACAGUGAAAGACGGUCUUGCUGUCACUUAUAGAUGGAUCCGCGCCGCAUUAGCUAGUUGGUAAGGUAACGGCUUACCAAGGCAACGAUGCGUAGCCGACCUGAGAGGGUGAUCGGCCACACUGGAACUGAGACACGGUCCAGACUACUACGGGAGGCAGCAGUAGAGAAUCUUCCGCAAUGGGCGAAAGCCUGACGGAGCAACGCCGCGUGAGUGAAGAAGGUCUUCGGAUCGUAAAACUCUGUUAUUAGGGAAGAACAAAUGUGUAAGUAACUAUGCACGUCUUGACGGUACCGAAUCAGAAAGCCACGGCUAACUACGUG